UUCUAUAAUUCUGUAUUUUGAUUUGUUACUCUCCUCUGUAUUCUGAUAGGCAGAUAUUUGGUGGUACCUUCAGGCUGGAAUUGAAGGUUUACAGGCAAUAAGACCUCGCUUGAGAAAUCAAUUCAUUGGAAUGGAAAAUUAAAUAAAGAUCAAUUAGGCGGUGGGAAACUGGGAAUGCAAAGUGGAUGAUGGAUAAUGUAAAGUUCUCAGUUAAAGAACCGAUUGAGGCCGUGGCAAAAAAAGAAGAGCUGGAGCACCUUUUCCAUGAUUUGCAGAUCUGAAGGUGAUGCAAUGGGGAGGACCACUGUUGGAAUUCUCGGGCCCCUUAAGUUUGAUAAGUCUCUUAGCCAGGGAACCAUCAAAUAGCUGAGGAACCUAGGAACUGGAGGUAUGGACAACAUUUUUUCAACUAGCAGGCCCGGCAGGCGGAACAAUUUUCAGAACAGUGUCGGCACCCCUAGGACUCCUGGGACUCCAGUGUUUCACGCAGUCUCAAAUGCGGCGUCCAAAGAGGCCCUGGAAGCGACAAUCACCUCGCUACAGAGUGGCAUUUCUGAAUCGAAGGCCAGAUGUGCGUCCCUGCGGGGAAGAUGAGAGCCGUGCCAAGGACAUCAGGCAGCUGACCGACAAGCUGGAAAAUAUGCAGUCCCCGGUGACACGAAUCAGAGCCUUGAUCUGAGUUGUACAUUGGUUUAUUCUUUGUGUACAGGCUGGGCAUUGGUACAAAACCGGGGAGCGGCUAAUGCCAUACCUCCCUUGCGGAUUAUUUCUCUUCUGUGUGCAUCUAUUACACGUUCCUUGCAGCCUGUUUGGUAGUUUGAGGGAAAGGGAAUGGGAGUUUAUAAAAGGGAGUUUGUAAGGGAUUGGAAUUGGGAAGUGGACUAUUAGUCCUAAUCCCACAUUUGGUGCUGGUUGAGAAUUGCUU